UACGAGGGUGGCAAGCGUUGCUCGGAUUCAUUGGGUGUAAAGGGCAAGUAGGCGGUUUGGUAAGUCGGAUGUGAAAGCCCCGGGCUCAACCUGGGAACGGCAUCCGAAACUGCGAAACUUGAGGACGAGAGAGGAAAGUGGAAUAUCCGGUGUAAGGGUGAAAUCUGUAGACAUCGGAUUGAACACCAGUGGCGAAGGCGACUUUCUGGCUCGUAUCUGACGCUGAGAGGCGAAAGCUAGGGGAGCGAACAGG
rnacentral:misc_RNA from 1 species